AUAGUCCGAAUUUUUCAAUAUUUUUAUUCGUAUCAUACAGGGAUGCGUUACUCACGUAAUUUAUAAUAUCAAGAUAUUGAAACGAGAAUAUAUAAGCGUGUGAAAGAACAGAAAUUUAUAAUUUAUAAAGGAAGGAGCAAAGCAGUGAAUAUACGCAGUUUACCCCGCGCGAUUAUUCGUGACGUCACGACGCUUGUAACGCAGAUUUAAUAGCGAUUUAAUGGCGAUCGCACAUCGUCAAGUGUCGAAGGAAUAAAAUUAGAAAAAUUAUUAUUAUAUAUAACAGUUACGUUUCAUUCCAUAUAUAUACAUAUACGUGUCAAAGUCGCGUUUAAUAAGAAAUUGGGGCUGAACUGCGACAUGACAACCAUAUUUAAUCCGCGUAGUACGAAUUCGGAAUUUUCGAAUCGGACCAUAAUAUCGUAAUGGAACCGAAAGUUACGUCAUUUAGUAUUCGCGCACAUUCACGUCGUCUGUUGUUCGCGGUCAUUUGUUGCGUCGAGUUACUUGUUAUGUGACGCAAAUUUAAAUGAAAUCGAGCAUCAGAAUAAACAUCGCUCGCAACUAAGAAUGUAAUAUCGGGAGUGCCGAAAAAAGUAUCGAGAGUAUCGAGAGAAGUAUGUAUCGGACGUCUGUUGUAUUAUGCGUAAAUACUGUAAAUCACACCGUAUAAUGAAAACGGGAGUGCCGAAAAAAGUAUCGGUAGUGUCGAGAAAAAUAUCGGCAGUGCCAAGAAAAAUAUCAGGAAUGCUGAAAGACUAUUGGGUAACUGCUUCAUUAUGCAGAGCUAACUGUGGUUAGAUGCUUUGGGAAGUGUGCCAAAAAUGAACACAUAACUUAAUACCAUUAUCGGAGUUUUCAAAAGAUUCAAUAUAUAAAUCACUUUACAAGAACGUUAAUGUCCGAUCGUCAUAGCAUCCUGUCAUCACUUACGUCACAUUUGAAGUGCAACACCAUCUUAAAGUAUGACGGUCCGAUGAACUUUUCGAGAGACGAGUGCGCAACAGCUGUACGAAACAUCGCUCACCCACGCAUGUACAAGUGUGCCAUUACACGCGUGACAGCCUCGCAACACAAGAUGGAAUGGGGAUCCAGCCCAUUGCGAUGUACCCGCGUCUCUUCGUUGCGCGCUACAGUCAGCGCAUAGCGCUGUUAAACGAGGCCUGGCAUAACUGCGCGUUACGUGCAUCUCGCAUAUCUCACAACGUGCUUCCUUCCUUCCAUUCUCCCGCCCUCCGAUGAGAGGACAGAGGAGAGCUAGGUCGCAUACCUACCGGCCGUAAUCUACUCAAUGUCGACGAAUAGCGGGGGCGUGUAUCGAUAUCGUCGAUGCUCGUGUAUCUCGCGGUCGAUUAGAUCAAAUGUUCAUUCUUCCAAGUGUAUAGCUAAGUUGACGCAACGAAUAUACGCAAAUUGUUAUCUCGAGAUCGCUUUACGAUGUGUUACAUCAAAGUGUCAGUAAAAUAAUACGCAUGAUAAAACAUAUGAGAACGAUAAACGUUGCGUAUAUAUUUUUUUAAGAGUAAAAAACGCAGUUUAUCUCUAAUAUUAUAUAUAUUAAUGAUAUUUAAAAGAUAUUUUGAUAUAUAUGUUAGCUAUUUUCAAAAUUUUAUAAUAAUUAUUAUCGAUGUGAUCUCUAAAAUUCAUUAAUUUUCUGCGUUUGGAAAAAAAUGAUAAGUCGUAUAUUUGGUUUUUGUUGUAGGUUUAUUAAAAAGUACGUAUUUUCCUUAAAUCACGGAAUUCCUAAGAUGACAACGCAACAAAUUUACAAAUGAAUUCUACAAUAUUUAUAUUUAGAUCAUGGCAACGUAUAUAAUGGUAAAACUGGAUAUAAAAACAUCGACGUAAAAAAAUAAUAAAUAUAAUUUUUAAUUUAUAUUAGUCGUCCCAAUUGUCCUUCUCUUUAUUCAAUAUUAAAUUAUCAUUAUGCAAUCAUUAUGAGUUAUUUGAUCAUGAUUACAUAAUUAUUUGAUCAUAAUUAGCAUAUAUUCUUUAUUAUUACGCG